AAUCAACGCUGGCGGCGUGCCUCAGACAUGCAAGUCGAACGCGAAAGUUUCCUUCGGGAGACAAGUAGAGUGGCGCACGGGUGAGUAACACGUAGGUAAUCUACCUUUGGAUGGGGAAUAACAACCGGAAACGGUUGCUAAUACCGCAUAAUGCAGCGGCACCUAAUGGUGACAGUUGUUAAAGCGGGGGAUCGAAAGACCUCGCGUCUGAAGAGGAGCCUGCGGCGGAUUAGCAGUUGGUAGGUAAUGGCUUACCAAGGCUACGAUCCGUAACCGGCCUGAGAGGGCGGUCGGUCACACUGACACUGACAUACGGGUCAGACUCCUACGGGAGGCAGCAGUCGGGAAUUUUGGGCAAUGGGCGAAAGCCUGACCCAGCAACGCCGCGUGAAGGAUGAAAUCCCUCGGGAU
rnacentral:rRNA from 1 species